CCCCAGUAACGGCGAGUGAAGCGGCAACAGCUCAAAUUUGAAAUCUGGCCCCUCUCGGGGCCCGAGUUGUAAUUUGUAGAGGAUGCUUUUGGUGCGGCGCCAGCUGAGUUCCCUGGAACGGGACGCCAUAGAGGGUGAGAGCCCCGUCACGCUGGACGCCAAGCCUAUGUAAAGCUCCUUCGACGAGUCGAGUAGUUUGGGAAUGCUGCUCAAAUUGGGAGGUAUAUGUCUUCUAAAGCUAAAUACCGGCCAGAGACCGAUAGCGCACAAGUAGAGUGAUCGAAAGAUGAAAAGCACUUUGAAAAGAGAGUUAACCAGUACGUGAAAUUGUUGAAAGGGAAGCGCUCAUGACCAGACUUGGGCUUGGCGAAUCACCCGGCGUUCUCGCCGGUGCACUUCGCCUCGCCCAGGCCAGCAUCAGUUCGUCGCGGGGGACAAAAGCGCCGGGAACGUGGCUCCCCCGGGAGUGUUAUAGCCCGGCGCACAAUACCCUGCGGUGGACUGAGGUUCGCGCAUCUGCAAGGAUGCUGGCGUAAUGGUCAUCAGCGACCCGUCUUGAAACACGGACCAAGGAGUCGUCUUCGUAUGCGAGUGUUCGGGUGUCAAACCCCUACGCGUAAUGAAAGUGAACGCAGGUGAGAGCUUCGGCGCAUCAUCGACCGAUCCUGAUGUUCUCGGAUGGAUUUGAGUAAGAGCAUACGGGGCCGGACCCGAAAGAAGGUGAACUAUGCCUGUAUAGGGUGAAGCCAGAGGAAACUCUGGUGGAGGCUCGCAGCGGUUCUGACGUGCAAAUCGAUCGUCAAAUAUGGGCAUGGGGGCGAAAGACUAAUCGAACCUUCUAGUAGCUGGUUUCCGCCGAAGUUUCCCUCAGGAUAGCAGUGUUGAACUCAGUUUUAUGAGGUAAAGCGAAUGAUUAGGGACUCGGGGGCGCUAUUUAGCCUUCAUCCAUUCUCAAACUUUAAAUAUGUAAGAAGCCCUUGUUGCUUAAUUGAACGUGGGCAUUCGAAUGUAUCAACACUAGUGGGCCAUUUUUGGUAAGCAGAACUGGCGAUGCGGGAUGAACCGAACGCGAGGUUAAGGUGCCAGAGUAGACGCUCAUCAGACACCACAAAAGGCGUUAGUACAUCUUGACAGCAGGACGGUGGCCAUGGAAGUCGGAAUCCGCUAAGGACUGUGUAACAACUCACCUGCCGAAUGUACUAGCCCUGAAAAUGGAUGGCGCUCAAGCGUCUCACCCAUACCUCGCCCUCAGGGUAGAAACGAUGCCCUGAGGAGUAGGCGGACGUGGAGGUCAGUGACGAAGCCUAGGGCGUGAGCCGGGGUCGAACGGCCUCUAGUGCAGAUCUU
rnacentral:rRNA from 1 species